rnacentral:rRNA from 1 species
ACCAGUACCGUGAGGGAAAGGUGAAAAGCACCCCGGAAGGGGAGUGAAAUAGAACCUGAAACCGUGUGCUUACAAGUAGUCAGAGCCCGUUAAUGGGUGAUGGCGUGCCUUUUGUAGAAUGAACCGGCGAGUUACGAUUUGAUGCAAGGUUAAGCAGUAAAUGUGGAGCCGUAGCGAAAGCGAGUCUGAAUAGGGCGUUUAGUAUUUGGUCGUAGACCCGAAACCAGGUGAUCUACCCUUGGUCAGGUUGAAGUUCAGGUAACACUGAAUGGAGGACCGAACCGACUUACGUUGAAAAGUGAGCGGAUGAACUGAGGGUAGCGGAGAAAUUCCAAUCGAACCUGGAGAUAGCUGGUUCUCUCCGAAAUAGCUUUAGGGCUAGCCUCAAGUGAUGAUUAUUGGAGGUAGAGCACUGUUUGGACGAGGGGCCCCUCUCGGGUUACCGAAUUCAGACAAACUCCGAAUGCCAAUUAAUUUAACUUGGGAGUCAGAACAUGGGUGAUAAGGUCCGUGUUCGAAAGGGAAACAGCCCAGACCACCAGCUAAGGUCCCAAAAUAUAUGUUAAGUGGAAAAGGAUGUGGCGUUGCCCAGACAACUAGGAUGUUGGCUUAGAAGCAGCCAUCAUUUAAAGAGUGCGUAAUAGCUCACUAGUCGAGUGACACUGCGCCGAAAAUGUACCGGGGCUAAACAUAUUACCGAAGCUGUGGAUUGUCCUUUGGACAAUGGUAGGAGAGCGUUCUAAGGGCGUUGAAGCAUGAUCGUAAGGACAUGUGGAGCGCUUAGAAGUGAGAAUGCCGGUGUGAGUAGCGAAAGACGGGUGAGAAUCCCGUCCACCGAUUGACUAAGGUUUCCAGAGGAAGGCUCGUCCGCUCUGGGUUAGUCGGGUCCUAAGCUGAGGCCGACAGGCGUAGGCGAUGGAUAACAGGUUGAUAUUCCUGUACCACCUAUA